rnacentral:rRNA from 1 species
AUUAACGCUGGCGGCAUGCCUUACACCUGCCAGUCGAACGGCAGCAUGAUCUAGCUUGCUAGAUUGAUGGCGAGUGGCGAACGGGUGAGUAAUACAUCGGAACGUGCCCUGUAGUGGGGGAUAACUAGUCGAAAGAUUAGCUAAUACCGCAUACGACCUGAGGGUGAAAGUGGGGGACCGCAAGGCCUCAUGCUAUAGGAGCGGCCGAUGUCUGAUUAGCUAGUUGGUGAGGUAAAGGCUCACCAAGGCGACGAUCAGUAGCUGGUCUGAGAGGACGAUCAGCCACACUGGGACUGAGACACGGCCCAGACUCCUACGGGAGGCAGCAGUGGGGAAUUUUGGACAAUGGGCGAAAGCCUGAUCCAGCAAUGCCGCGUGUGUGAAGAAGGCCUUCGGGUUGUAAAGCACUUUUGUCCGGAAAGAAAUGGCUCUGGUUAAUACCUGGGGUCGAUGACGGUACCGGAAGAAUAAGGACCGGCUAACUACGUG